AGUGCAUGUGGCGGAUGCCUUGGCGAUCACAGGCGAAGAAAGACGCGGCAGCCUGCGAAAAGCUGCGGGGAGCUGGCAAACGAGCUUUGAUCCGCAGAUAUCUGAAUGGGGGAACCCACACCGCAAGGUGUAUCCGUAGCUGAAUACAUAGGUUACGGAGGCGAACGAGGAGAACUGAAACAUCUAAGUAUCCUCAGGAAAAGAAAUCAACCGAGAUUCCGGCAGUAGCGGCGAGCGAACCCGGAGGAGCCCAGCUUUUGAUAGUACGAACUUUAGCCGAAAGGUCCUGGAAAGGCCUGCUAUAGUGGGUGAUAGCCCCGUAGGCGAAAGAGUUGGUACGGUACUAAGGAAGCGAGAAGUAGAGCGGGACACGUGGAAUCCUGUUCGAAGACGGGGGGACCAUCCUCCAAGGCUAAAUACUCGUGAUCGACCGAUAGUGAACCAGUACCGUGAGGGAAAGGCGAAAAGAACCCCGGGAGGGGAGUGAAAUAGAACCUGAAACCGCAUGCAUACAAACAGUAGGAGCCUCAUCAGAGGUGACUGCGUACCUUUUGCAUAAUGGGUCAGCGACUUACAUUCUGUGGCGAGCUUAACCGAAUAGGGGAGGCGCAGCGAAAGCGAGUUCGAAAUGAGCGUCCAGUCGCAGGGUGUAGACCCGAAACCAGAUGAGCUAUCCAUGGCCAGGUUGAAGGUGUGGUAACACACACUGGAGGACCGAACCGACUAGUGUUGCAAAAUUAGCGGAUGAGCUGUGGAUAGGGGUGAAAGGCCAAACAAAUCUGGAGAUAGCUGGUUCUCCCCGAAAACUAUUGAGGUAGUGCCUCGUGUGUCGCUCCAGGGGGUAGAGCACUGUUUUGGCUAGGGGGACAUGGAGUCUUACCAAACCAAGGCAAACUCCGAAUACCUGGAAGCGUAAGCACGGGAGACAGAGCACCGGGUGCUAACGUCCGGACUCAAAAGGGAAACAACCCAGACCGCCGGCUAAGGUCCCAAAUAACAGCUAAGUGGAAAACGAAGUGGAAAGGCCGUGACAACCAGGAAGUUGGCUUAGAAGCAGCCAUCCUUCAAAGAAAGCGUAAUAGCUCACUGGUCGAGUCCUUCUGCGCGGAAGAUGUAACGGGGCUAAGCUGUUAACCGAAGCCGCGGAUGCACUGGUUAUCCAGUGCGUGGUAGGGGAGCGUUCUGUAAGUCUGCGAAGGCGGUUCGAGAGGACUGCUGGAGAUAUCAGAAGUGCGAAUGCUGACAUGAGUAACGUUAAAGCAGGUGAAAAGCCUGCUCGCCGUAAGCCCAAGGAUUCCUGCUCUACGUUCAUCGGAGCAGGGUGAGUCGGCUCCUAAGGUCAGGCCGAAAGGCGUAGCCGAUGGGAAUCAGGUUAAUAUUCCUGAACCUGCGUCAGAUGCGAUGGGGGGACGGAGCAUGGAAGAUCAUCCGGGUGUUGGAAGUCCCGGUUGUUUAGCGUAGGAGGUCUGCAGGCAAAUCCGCAGACGCAUCUCCAAGGCAAAGACACGUGCCGCCACGGCGGCGAAGUGAUCGGAAGUGCUUCCAAGAAAAGCCUCUAAGCACCAGUCUGAUGCGGACCGUACCGCAAACCGACACUGGUGGGCGAGCUGAAUAUGCUCAGGCGCUUGAGAGAACUCGGGAGAAGGAACUCGGCAAAUUGACACCGUAACUUCGGAAGAAGGUGUGCCGUAGUACCGUGAGAGGAGAGACACCUUGAGCGGGAAACGGUCUCAGAGAAUAGGUGGCUGCGACUGUUUAUUAAAAACACAGCACUCUGCAAAGUCGAAAGACGACGUAUAGGGUGUGAUGCCUGCCCGGUGCUGGAAGAUUAAUUGAUGGGGUGAGAGCCCUUGAUCGAAGUCCCAGUAAACGGCGGCCGUAACUAUAACGGUCCUAAGGUAGCGAAAUUCCUUGUCGGGUAAGUUCCGACCUGCACGAAUGGCAUAACGAUGGCCACACUGUCUCCUCCCGAGACUCAGUGAAGUUGAAAUGUUUGUGAUGAUGCAAUCUACCCGCGGCUAGACGGAAAGACCCCAUGAACCUUUACUGCAGCUUUGCAUUGAACUGUGAACCGAUUUGUGUAGGAUAGGUGGGAGGCAGAGAAGAGGCCACGCCAGUGGUCUUGGAGCCGACCUUGAAAUACCACCCUGAUUUGUUUGCGGUUCUAACCACGGACAGUGAUCCUGUCUUGGGACCGUGCAUGGUAGGCAGUUUGACUGGGGCGGUCUCCUCCUAAAGGGUAACGGAGGAGUACGAAGGUACGCUAGGUACGGUCGGAAAUCGUGCUGAUAGUGCAAUGGCAAAAGCGUGCUUGACUGCGAGAGCAACAACUCGAGCAGAUGCGAAAGCAGGUCAUAGUGAUCCGGUGGCUCUGAAUGGAAGGGCCAUCGCUCAACGGAUAAAAGGUACUCCGGGGAUAACAGGC
rnacentral:rRNA from 1 species